rnacentral:miRNA from 1 species
GGUCUCUCUGUGCAGCUUGGGCUGGCUUUGAACUCACUUUGUAGCCCAGGCUGGUCUUGAACUCACAAGGUUCCUCCUGCCUCAGGCUCCUGAGUGCUGGGAUUACAGGCGUGCACUAC